GUCUGGAUGGCUGAGUGGUCUAAGGCACUGUGUUUAGGUCACAGUCUCCUCUGGAGGUGUGGGUUUGAAUCCUACUUCUGACA